rnacentral:rRNA from 1 species
UGGCGAACGGGUGAGUAACACGUGGGUGAUCUGCCCUGCACUCUGGGAUAAGCCUGGGAAACUGGGUAUAAUACCGGAUAGGACCAUGCUUUAGUGUGUGUGGUGGAAAGUUUUUUCGGUGUAGGAUGAGCCCGCGGCCUAUCAGCUUGUUGGUGGGGUAAUGGCCUACCAAGGCGGCGACGGGUAGCCGGACUGAGAGGUUGGUCGGCCACAUUGGGACUGAGAUACGGCCCAG